rnacentral:rRNA from 1 species
UACGUAGGGUGCGAGCGUUGUCCGGAAUUAUUGGGCGUAAAGAGCUCGUAGGCGGUUUGUUGCGUCUAUCGUGAAAACCUGCAGCUUAACUGUGGGCUUGCGGUGGAUACGGGCAGACUAGAGUGCGGUAGGGGAGACUGGAAUUCCUGGUGUAGCGGUGAAAUGCGCAGAUAUCAGGAGGAACACCGGUGGCGAAGGCGGGUCUCUGGGCCGUAACUGACGCUGAGGAGCGAAAGCAUGGGUAGCGAACAGG